AAAUGGGAAAAGUCAUGUCUCUUUCCUCGAGUGUUUGGAUGCAAAUGCUACAUCUACAAGAAACGUCAUCACCUAGCGAAGUUUUAAAGACGAUGUGACAUUAGUUUCUGACUUGGUUAUUUAUCAAAAUUCAAAGCAUAUCGAGUAUUCAAUCAUAUGCCACUGGCGUGGUGGAAAACAUAUGAUGUGAAAUUUGAUGAGACUAAUGACUCUUAAGGAGCGCUUCAAAUUCUUGAUGAUGUAGGUGAUAAAUCACUCAGGGAAGCUAUGAAGAAUAUGUCAAUUGGAGCUAUCAAACCAAAAGAAGAUGAAUAUGAGGUGCAAGAUAUCAGCAUGCCUUUUUUAUCAAAUGUAUCAUGAGAAAGAUGUUGAUGCUCAAGCAAUGGUACAAGCCAAAGAUGUUGAUGCUCCAAAAUCUUUUUACCAAGUGGUUGAGAAAAGAAAUUCAUCACUACUACAAUCACAUCCACAAGAUCUCAUCAUUGGGAAUCCUUCAAAAGGGGUUAUUUCUUGUUCAAAAAAUGCUUUAUUUAUUGAACAUCACUGCUUUAUUUCUUGUGUUCUUGUAUAGAUGAGGUGCUACAGGAUCCAGACUGGUGAAUGUUAUGCAUGAAGAAUUAAACAACUUCAUCUAGAAUCAAGUCUAGACCCUUGAGAAGCCUCUACACGAUGCAAGAGUCAUUGGAACAAAGUGGGUGUUUAGAAACAAACAAAAUGGUCAAGAGGUAAUUGUGCGGAACAAGGCAAGGCUAGUUGUAAAGGAGUUCUCUCAAAUUGAAUGCUUGGACUUUGGAGAGACCUUUGCACCGGUUGCUCGACUUGAAGCCAUCCAUUAUCUAAGGCACUAUAUCGACUAAAGCAAUCUCUAAAGGAUUGGUAUGAGCGUCUUCGCGACUUAUUGAGAGGGGCUUCAAGAUUAUUAUUGUCGACACCACACUAUUUACCAAGAAACAUAACGCUGGUAUUUCUAUUUGUCAAGUUUAUGUUGAUGACAAAUGAUUGUCAUUGCAAGUAAUUUGUUGAGUUGAUGUCGAAUGAGUUUGAAAUGUCAAUGAUUGGUGAGCUUACUUUCUUCCUCGACUUUCAAAUCAAACAAAUGAAAGAAGACAACCUCUAUUGUUUGAUAAGUGUGCUCAUUCAAACAUGUACAAGCCUUUUAUGCCAUAGCUAUCCGAGAGAUGCUUUGGUAAAGAGACAAGCAUAAUCAGAAGAGAAAUCUACUAAAUAUAGCAUCAUCAUGGGUAAACGGGUUUAUUUUGAAGUACAAGAGAAGCGCUCUAUACUUGAAACCACCAAACACAGAGCACUACACGCUAGAUCACACCUUAGUUGCAACAAUAAAAAUUUGGUACAGACGAAUGAUCAUAUCAUCACUGGCUACAACCCAGUGGUGUAAACAACACGAUGAUGACUGCAUACAGAACUGGAUACACUUACUGGUAACUCUCAGGAAAAGAGAGUAGCUAGGUCUUCCAGAGUUUGGUCCAAAGGCUGACCGCUGAUGAAUGUAGGGGCUGUUUGGUUGGUGGCUAAAUCUGCCACACUUUGCCUAAGGUUAGUCCUUCGAAUUGAAAAACUAACCUUAGACAGAAAAGUUAGGCAAAGUGUGGCAAGUUAGACACCAAACCAAACAGGCCCUAGUCAUGCAGACAACGGGGUGAUGAGUUGAUGACUGCAGACUUGUACAGGACAGGACACACUUCUUGAUCAUCAGACCCUGUGCACGGUGACUGGGACUAGGGACCACACACCAACACGAAUUUUCAGAUGCACAAUCACCUGAAGGCUGAUCUCCAUUGGAUUAAUCCAUCUUACAUAUGCUGGACUCCAUUCCAGCAUAAGCUACAUUUCCAUCACGCUUGCGAUUUAAACUGAGCGAAACUGCAAGAGCAACUGUUACUCUUGGAUCACUUGCCCCAUCCAUAGGGGCAACUUCAUGGUU